rnacentral:rRNA from 1 species
UGGGGAAUCUUGCGCAAUGCGCGAAAGCGUGACGCAGCAACGCCGCGUGGGGGAAGACGGCCUUCGGGUUGUAAACCCCUUUCAGAAGGGACGAAGCUCCGUCGGUUAAUAGCCGGCUGGAGUGACGGUACCUUCAGAAGAAGCCCCGGCUAACUACGUGCCAGCAGCCGCGGUAAUACGUAGGGGGCAAGCGUUGUCCGGAAUCAUUGGGCGUAAAGAGCGUGUAGGCGGCUCGAUAAGUCUGCUGUGAAAGUCCAGGGCUCAACCCUGGAAUGCCGGUGGAAACUGUCGGGCUAGAGUCCGGAAGAGGCGAGUGGAAUUCCUGGUGUAGCGGUGAAAUGCGCAGAUAUCAGGAGGAACACCAAUUGCGAAGGCAGCUCGCUGGGACGCGACUGACGCUGAGACGCGAAAGCGUGGGGAGCAAACAG